AGACGAAGGUGGCUAGCGUUGUUCGGUGUCACUGGGCUUAAAGAGUAUGUAGGCGGAAAAGUAAGCGCUUUGUGAAAUCCCUCGGCUUAACCGAGGAAUUGCUUGGCGAACUGCUUUUCUUGAGGCAAGUAGGGGUGCAUGGAACUCUUGGUGGAGCGGUGGAAUGCGUAGAUAUCAAGAGGAACGCCAAUGGAGAAAUCAGUGCACUGGGCUUGUCCUGACGCUGAGAUACGAAAGCGUGGGUAGCGAACGGGAUUAGAUACCCCGGUAGUCCACGCCGUAAACGAUGUCUACUAGGUUGCGGGUGUUCUGACACAAUCGCGACCGAAGCAAAAGUGUUAAGUAGACCGCCUGGGGAGUACGGUCGCAAGGCUAAA
rnacentral:rRNA from 1 species